rnacentral:sRNA from 1 species
GCUGGGUGUGGUGAUGCAUACCUGUAAUCUCAGCAGCUAGGGAAGCUGAGGCUUUUAAGGCUAGCCUCAGCAACUGAGUCCUUAAGCAAUUUUUUUUUUUUUUUUUUUUUGGUACUGGGGAUUGAAUUCAGGGACACUCAAACCCUGAGCCACAACCCCAGCCCUAAUUUUUGUAUUUUAGAGACAGGGUCUCACUGAGUUGCUAAGCACCUUGCUGUUGCUGAGGCUGGCUUUGAACUCUU